GAUGAACGUUGGCGGCGUGCCUAAUACAUGCAAGUCGAACGAAGACUGUAGUAAUACUGUCUUAGUGGCGAACGGGUGAGUAACGCGUGGGUGACCUGCCCCGAAGUGUGGGAUAACAGUCCGAAAGGAUUGCUAAUACUGCAUAAUAUCCAAGAGAUUAGAUGCUUUUGGAUUAAAGGAGUAAUUCGCUUCGGGAGGGGCCCGCGUCCCAUCAGCUAGUUGGUAAGGUAAUGGCUUACCAAGGCGAUGACGGGUAGGGGACCUGAGAGGGUGGCCCCCCACAAUGGAACUGAAACACGGUCCAUACACCUACGGGUGGCAGCAGUAGGGAAUAUUAGUAAUGGGCGAAAGCCUGAACUAGCAACGCCGCGUGUGCGAAGAAGGCCUUGGGUCGUAAAGCACUUUUUGAGAGGAUGAGGAAGGACGGUACUCUCAGAAUAAGUCUCGGCUAACUACGUGCCAGCAGCCGCGGUAAGCACGAGAGUA
rnacentral:rRNA from 1 species